GACGUAGGGCGCGAGCGUUGUCCGGAUUUAUUGGGCGUAAAGAGCUCGUAGGCGGCUUGUCGCGUCGACCGUGAAAACUCGCAGCUCAACUGCGAGCCUGCGGUCGAUACGGGCAGGCUAGAGUUCGGUAGGGGAGACUGGAAUUCCUGGUGUAGCGGUGAAAUGCGCAGAUAUCAGGAGGAACACCGGUGGCGAAGGCGGAUCUCUGGGCCAUUACUGACGCUGAGGAGCGAAAGCGUGGGGAGCGAACAGG
rnacentral:rRNA from 1 species